rnacentral:rRNA from 1 species
CCUACGGGUGGCAGCAGUGAGGAAUAUUGGUCAAUGGGCUUACGCCUGAACCAGCCAAGUCGCGUGAGGGAAGACUGCCCUAUGGGUUGUAAACCUCUUUUGUCAGGGAGCAACGCCGGCUACGUGUAGCCGGACUGAGAGUACCUGAAGAAAAAGCAUGGGCUAACUCCGUGCCAGCAGCCGCGGUAAUACGGAGGAGGCGAGCGUUAUCCGGAUUUAUUGGGUUUAAGGGGUGCGUAGGCGGAAUGCCAAGUCAGCGGUAAAAUCGCGGGGCUCAACCUCGCUCCGCCGUUGAAACUGGCGGUCUUGAGUGGGCGAGAAGUAUGCGGAAUGCGUGGUGUAGCGGUGAAAUGCAUAGAUAUCACGCAGAACUCCGAUUGCGAAGGCAGCAUACCGGCGCCCAACUGACGCUGAAGCACGAAAGCGUGGGUAUCGAACAGGAUUAGAUACCCGAGUAGUC